rnacentral:miRNA from 1 species
CCCAUCACCUUUCCGUCUCCCCU